rnacentral:rRNA from 1 species
CGUGUGCGCGAGUCAUUGGGUGUCAAAACCUAAAGGCGUAAUGAAAGUGAAGGAAACUUUGUUUUCGAGGGAGGAUGGGUUAGGCUCUUGUUUACAAGGCCGGCCUCGCACUCCCGGGGCGUCUCUAUCUCAUUGCGAGAGGAGGCGCACCUAGAGCGUACACGCUGAUACCCGAAAGAUGGUGAACUAUGCCUGGCCAGGACGAAGCCAGGGGAAACCCUGGUGGAGGUCCGCAGCGAUUCUGACGUGCAAAUCGAUCGUCGGAGCUGGGUUUAGGGGCGAAAGACCAAUCGAACCAUCUAGUAGCUGGUUCCCUCUGAAGUUUCCCUCAGGAUAGCUUGCGCUCGGAAACAACGAGUCUCAUCCGGUAGAGCGAAUGAUUAGAGGCCUUGGGGUCGAAACGACCUCAACCUAUUCUCAAACUCCAAAUAGAUGAGAACCCCGGCUUUCUUGAACUUUGUUUAUGAAGCCGGGGGCUCGGAUCAGAGUGCCAAGUGGGCCAAUUUUGG